rnacentral:rRNA from 1 species
AACGAACGCUGGCGGCAGGCCUAACACAUGCAAGUCGAGCGAGGACUUCGGUUCUAGCGGCGGACGGGUGAGUAACGCGUGGGAAUGUGCCCUUCUCUACGGAAUAGCCCUGGGAAACUGGGAGUAAUACCGUAUACGCCCUUUUGGGGAAAGAUUUAUCGGAGAAGGAUCAGCCCGCGUUGGAUUAGGUAGUUGGUGGGGUAAUGGCCUACCAAGCCGACGAUCCAUAGCUGGUUUGAGAGGAUGAUCAGCCACACUGGGACUGAGACACGGCCCAGACUCCUACGGGAGGCAGCAGUGGGGAAUCUUAGACAAUGGGGGCAACCCUGAUCAAGCCAUGCCGCGUGAGUGAUGAAGGCCUUAGGGUUGUAAAGCUCUUUCAGCUGGGAAGAUAAUGACGGUACCAGCAGAAGAAGCCCCGGCUAACUCCGUG